AUGGACUUCCUGGCUCAGAAUCUCUUGCCUGCUUGCCAUGUGAGGGGUCGGUUCAGUGCCUGGUCUCUGUCAUACACUCAGGAGGAAAUCUUUGCGUAUAAAAAUAGGAUUCAUCCCUCUCUUGACUCCUGGUAUUUGGCUAAUCCUCCUGAAAGUCCCAAGCUUGCAAAUCAGCCCCCGCUACAAGAUCUGUCUCUACACAUCACAGCCCUUCCCCUCAUCAGGACUCACCUCCUGAUCAGAGAGAAACUGCUUGGCUGUGUAGCCCUGAGAGUUUGGUUCCCAGAAGACAGAUGCUGGUCUCCGAGUUCUGGAACUUUCGACCUGUGUGACCUUGGGCUUCUGAACCUCAGUCUACUCAUCUGCAACAGGAUACUCACUUCACAAGGUCUCUUAAGUUACAAACUUUGCUGA
rnacentral:lncRNA from 1 species